rnacentral:rRNA from 1 species
CCUACGGGCGGCAGCAGUGAGGAAUAUUGGUCAAUGGACGAGAGUCUGAACCAGCCAAGUAGCGUGAAGGAUGACUGCCCUAUGGGUUGUAAACUUCUUUUAUAUGGGAAUAAAACGUUCCACGUGUGGGAUUUUGUAUGUACCAUAUGAAUAAGGAUCGGCUAACUCCGUGCCAGCAGCCGCGGUAAUACGGAGGAUCCGAGCGUUAUCCGGAUUUAUUGGGUUUAAAGGGAGCGUAGGUGGAUUGUUAAGUCAGUUGUGAAAGUUUGCGGCUCAACCGUAAAAUUGCAGUUGAAACUGGCAGUCUUGAGUACAGUUGAGGUGGGCGGAAUUCGUGGUGUAGCGGUGAAAUGCUUAGAUAUCACGAAGAACUCCGAUUGCGAAGGCAGUUCACUGGACUGCAACUGACACUGAGGCUCGAAAGUGUGGGUAUCAAACAGGAUUAGAUACCCUUGUAGUC